GACGAACGCUGGCGGCGUGCUUAACACAUGCAAGUCGAACGGAAAGGCCCCUUUGGGGGUACUCGAGUGGCGAACGGGUGAGUAACACGUGAGUAACCUGCCCUUGACUUCGGGAUAACUUCAGGAAACUGGGGCUAAUACCGGAUAGGAAUCCUUGCUGCAUGGUGGGGGUUGGAAAGCUUCGGCGGUUUUGGAUGGACUCGCGGCUUAUCAGCUUGUUGGUGGGGUAGUGGCUUACCAAGGCUUUGACGGGUAGCCGGCCUGAGAGGGCGACCGGCCACAUUGGGACUGAGAUACGGCCCAGACUCCUACGGGAGGCAGCAGUGGGGAAUAUUGCACAAUGGGCGGAAGCCUGAUGCAGCAACGCCGCGUGCGGGAUGACGGCCUUCGGGUUGUUAACCGCUUUCAGCAGGGGCGAAGCUUGUGGUGACGGUACCUGCAGAAGAAGCACCGGCUAACUACGUG
rnacentral:rRNA from 1 species